CACCAGCACAUAAAUACGGAAAAAGCUGCGUGUGAGUGUGUGUUGAAGUGAACCCAAAAACCCAACCGAGACUUUGGGUUGAAAGAAAGAGCGAAUCUCUUUCUCUCUCUCUCUGAAGAAUAGAAUCGAAGGAGUGAAAGAAAAGAAAAGAGUAGCAGUUGAAGUUAAGAAUGGAGGACAGUGUUGGCAACAACGGCGUGACUGCCAACAAUGUCGCCCAAGCUAUACACACCGCGCUUGAUUGGGCCUCUACUCCCGAUGCUCGCCUAAACGCCGUCGCUUUUCUCGAUUCCAUCAAGAGAGGUGAUGUACGGGCAUUAGCAAACACAUCAUUCCUUUUGGUGAAAAAGAACUGGUCGUCUGAAAUUCGGUUACAUGCCUAUAAAAUGCUGCAGCAUUUAGUGCGCUUACGUUGGGAGGAAUUGAGCCCUGCAGAACACAAGAACUUUGCAAAUCUUUCCCUUGAGUUGAUGUCAGAGAUUGCGGAUCCUUGUGAAAAUUGGGCUCUCAAAAGCCAGACAGCUGCCCUUGUUGCUGAGGUUGUUAGAAGAGAGGAUAUUAGUUUGUGGCAAGAAAUGCUUCCAUCUUUGAUCUCUCUAUCCAACAAGGGUCCAAUAGAAGCUGAGUUGGUUGCAAUGAUGCUGCGGUGGCUUCCUGAAGACAUUACUGUUCACAAUGAAGAUUUAGAAGGUGAUCGGCGAAGGCUACUUUUGCGUGGGCUAACUCAAUCGUUGAGUGAAAUUUUUCCACUAUUAUACAAUUUACUAGAAAGACACUUUACAGCUGCAAUGAAUGAAGCUGGUAGAAAUCAGAUGGAUAUUGCCAAACAGCAUGCUGCCACUGUAACAGCUACUCUAAAUGCAGUGAAUGCGUAUGCUGAAUGGGCUCCAUUGUCAGAUUUAGCUGAGCACGGCAUUAUUCACGGUUGUGGUGUGCUACUAUCUGCUCCAGAUUUUCGUCUUCAUGCUUCGGAGUUCUUCAAACUUGUCUCUCCAAGGAGGAGGCCUAUUGAAACAUCUAUCCCUAAAUUUGACCAAGCCAUGAAUAACAUCUUUCACACGUUGAUGAAUGUAUCUAGAGAAUUUUUGUAUAGAUCCGGUUCAAGUCCUGGGUCUAUAGAUGAGGGUGAAUACGAAUUUGCUGAAUAUAUAUGUGAAAGUAUGGUGUCACUGGGCUCUUUUAACUUGCAAAGUAUUGCUGGUGAUAGCAGCUUACUUCCACUUUACCUAGAACAGAUGCUGGGAUUUUUCCAACAUUUCAAGUUUGCUAUUCAUUUUCAAUCCCUGCAAUUUUGGCUGGUACUAAUGAGGGAUUUGAUGUCAAAGCCAAAAAAUUCCACACAUUCAGCUGCUGACAGUUCAGCUGUUAGUAGCACAGGUUCUGGAGAAGUUGAAAAUGCAAAGAAGAAGACUCUAAGCUUUGUGAGUGAUGAUUUUUGUGGUGCAAUUUUGGAUACAUCUUUCCCUCGCAUGCUCAAGAGAGAGAAAAUUCUGCAUGAGACUGCCAUUACUUUAGGGGUAUUGGAGUUGUGGAGCGAAGAUUUUGAGUGCAAGGGAACAUUCAGCCUUUAUCGAUCUAGAUUGUUGGAGUUAAUUAGGUUUGUUUCUUCUUACAAACCCCUUAUAGCUGCUACUAAAGUAUCUGAAAAGAUUGAUACAGUCAUUAAAGGUCUCUUGCUCUCUCCAGCACCGACUCAGGACUUACCUGUGAUGGAAAGUAUGCAGUUGGCUAUAGAGGGUGUUGUAAAUGCAGUUUUUGAUGGAUCCAAUGACUUCACCAAGACAAAUGCUGAAGUCCAGUUUGCAUUAUGUAGAACGUUUGAAGGUAUACUUCAACGCUUAAUUUCCUUAAAGUGGACGGAGCCUGCACUUGUUGAAGUACUUGUUCACUAUUUGGAUGCUAUGGGCCCCUUUCUGAAAUAUUUCCCUGAUGCAGUUGGCAGUGUUAUUAGUAAAUUAUUUGAACUUCUAACAUCUCUGCCAACCAUAAUCAAGGAUACAUCAGUGCAUAGUGCACGCCAUGCAAGGCUGCAGAUCUGUACAUCAUUUAUUCGGAUAGCAAAAGCUGCCGACAAAAGCAUUUUACCUCAUAUGAAGGGCAUUGCUGAUACAAUGGCAUGUUUGCAAAGGGACGGUUGUUUGCUACAGAGUGAGCAUAAUCUUUUAGGUGAAGCUUUUCUUGUUAUGGCUUCUUCUUCUGGAAUUGAACAGCAACAAGAAGUUUUAAAAUGGCUUUUAGAACCUUUGAGCCAUCAGUGGACACAAUCUGAGUGGCAGGAAAAAUAUCUGUCAGGUCCACAAGGUUUGGUUCAGUUGUGCUCUGAAGCACCUGUAAUGUGGUCAAUUUUUCAUACCUUGACAUUCUUUGAAAGGGCACUUAAGAGGAGUGGAUUGAAGAAAGGCAAUUGGAAUUCAGAAAACAGCGCAACACCAAAUUCAACUCCAAUAAAUCCAAUGGCCUCUCACAUAGCAUGGAUGGUGACUCCUCUCUUGAAACUACUUCGUUGUAUACAUUCCCUUUGGUCUCCAUCCAUAAGUCAAGCUUUACCUGGAGAGGUAAGAGCUGCUAUGGUCAUGAUUGAUUUUGAGAGGUCAGGUCUUCUUGGAGAAGGGAACUCCAAAUUGCCAAAGGGUUCUUUGACUGUCACAGAUGGAUCUAAGGUCGACAUUAAUAAAGAAGGAUAUGCGGAACCAAAUGGAUCAGAUAUACGGAACUGGUUUAAAGGCAUUAGAGACAGUGGAUAUAACGUAUUGGGCUUGUCAACAACCAUUGGCGAUUCAUUUUUCAAAUAUUUGGAUGUGCACUCUGUUUCUGUUGCGCUGAUGGAGAAUAUACCGUCAAUGGAGUUCAGGCAUAUUCGACAGCUUGUUCAUUCCACUUUGAUUCCUUUGGUUAAAAGCUGUCCUUUGGAUAUGUGGGAGAUUUGGCUGGAGAAAAUUCUACAUCCAUUGUUUAUCCAUGCUCAGCAAGCCCUUAGCUGUUCAUGGUCUAGUCUUCUACAAGAUGGUAGAGCAAAGGUUCCAGAUGUUCUUAGCGUUCUUAGUGGAUCAGACUUGAAAGUGGAAGUGAUGGAGGAAACGAUUUUGAGGGAUCUCACGCGUGAGAUUUGUUCACUCCUCUCUGUCAUUGCUUCUCCUCCCCUUAAUAAUGGAAUUCCUUCUUUGGAACAGUCUGGGCAUGUUAGUCGAUUAGACGCUCUGAAAAGCUUGGACUCAGUUGCAUCUUGUUCUAUGGUUGGUUUCCUUCUAAAGCAUGAAGGUCUGGCCAUUCCAACAUUACGGCUAUGUUUAGAAGCUUUUACAUGGACGGAUGGUGAAUCUGUGACUAAAAUUUCUUCGUAUUGCUCUGUGUUGGUAGUUCUUGCGAUAGUAACAAAUCAUGCAGAACUCGUAGAAUAUGUUUCUAGAGAUCUUUUUACAUCCCUUAUUCAAGGUUUAACCCUUGAAUCAAAUGCAAUAACCAGUGCUGAUCUAGUUGCCAUUUGUCGUGAAAUAUUUGUAUAUCUUUGUGAUCGACACCCAGCACCCAGGCAGGUUUUGUUGUCUCUCCCCAAUAUUACCCCUCACGAUUUAGUUGCCUUUGAGGAAUCUUUAAAGAAAACAUCCAGUCCAAAGGAACAAAAGCAACAUAUGAGAAGCUUACUUCAAUUAGCAACCGGUAACAAAUUGAAAGCACUUGCUGCACAGAAAAGUGUAAAUAUCAUUACAAACGUUUCAAUGAGACAGCGCAGCUCAGUCAAUGCUCCCGAGUCCAAAGUUGAUGAUGGUGAUGUUGUGGGGUUGGCAGCCAUCAUGUGAUAUUGUUUUGAGCUCAUGGAAGGUUUUGUGUACAGGAAUGAGCUCAUUGAGAAGAUUUUGGUUUUCAUUAUUUACUAACAAAGGGUGCGAAAGCAUUUCCUCCCCUGCCCUGCCUAAUUAACAAGGUAAUCGGGUGAGUACAGAGAUUUUAUGUCCUUCAUUUGAAUAGGUUUACUGUAUCCACGCUGUCCUUCAUUUGUAGUAUAUAUAGCAUAGCAUAACCACACCUGGCAGUUCAGACUUGUGUAUUUAAUUGUUGCCAGAAUCCAAAGCUGCCAUUAAUUAUUUUCUUAUUCCUCACUUUGUAGCAUAAAUUUGAAGAAUUAGAAACACACUUCUACUCUUUACAUGUAAAUGUGUUCUAUUGUGGGGUUAAUAUCCACUACAUGGAUUGUUGAGGAGAGUCUAGUUUGAUUUGAACUCACAUAUUCUCAAAAGACAAAAAUCGUUGCUUAAAAUGGGACCAGGCGGCCCAGGCCCAAGCGGCCCGCCAGGUUGGGGUUCACCCGGCCCACCGGGGCCGGGAUUUUUCGGUGGGUUUUGCGAUCUCGUUAACUCUUGUUUGAGCUUUUUGUGCUGCUGCUGGUUACUACAGGACUGCUUUGGGGGUCCAUCUGGCCCACCUGGAGGCCCAUUCCGCCCACCUGGGCCUCCAUGAGUUUCCAAGUUGCCAUGGUUUCCAAUGUUAUAUAUAUGAAGUUCUAUAUGUUAGGUAAUUAAUUAUCAAUCAGAACUCUGCUAAUCUCUGUUUGAUGUAAUAAUACAUUCCUGGCACGGUCGAAGGUUGAAGAAUAAUUUAUUGUAAUUUAUUUUAUUUUAUUUUUA